UUCAGGGCAAUGGGAAUUGAAGCCAUCUAAUCACAGAGCCAUGGAGCAGCCAGACAAAUCUUCCCCCUCAUAACUCCACCCAAAUGCUCCAGAUUUAAACUAGAGGGACCACCAUGAAGGGUGAACAUUUCUGUCUUCAUGCCCAUUCAAUUCUUGGCCUCA
rnacentral:sRNA from 1 species